rnacentral:rRNA from 1 species
AACGAACGCUGGCGGCGUGCUUAACACAUGCAAGUCGAACGGAAAGGCCCUGCUUUUGUGGGGUGCUCGAGUGGCGAACGGGUGAGUAACACGUGAGUAACCUGCCCUUGACUUUGGGAUAACUUCAGGAAACUGGGGCUAAUACCGGAUAGGAGCUCCUGCUGCAUGGUGGGGGUUGGAAAGUUUCGGCGGUUGGGGAUGGACUCGCGGCUUAUCAGCUUGUUGGUGGGGUAGUGGCUUACCAAGGCUUUGACGGGUAGCCGGCCUGAGAGGGUGAACGGCCACAUUGGGACUGAGAUACGGCCCAGACUCCUACGGGAGGCAGCAGUGGGGAAUAUUGCACAAUGGGCGGAAGCCUGAUGCAGCAACGCCGCGUGCGGGAUGACGGCCUUCGGGUUGUAAACCGCUUUCGCCUGUGACGAAGCGUGAGUGACGGUAAUGGGUAAAGAAGCACCGGCUAACUACGUG